rnacentral:rRNA from 1 species
CCUACGGGAGGCUGCAGUGGGGAAUAUUGGACAAUGGGGGCAACCCUGAUCCAGCCAUGCCGCGUGUGUGAAGAAGGCCCUCGGGUUGUAAAGCACUUUCAGUGAGGAAGAACGCCUGGUGGUUAAUACCCAUCAGGAAAGACAUCACUCACAGAAGAAGCACCAGCUAACUCCGUGCCAGCAGCCGCGGUAAUACGGAGGGUGCGAGCGUUAAUCGGAAUUACUGGGCGUAAAGCGCGCGUAGGUGGCUUGAUAAGCCGGUUGUGAAAGCCCCGGGCUCAACCUGGGAACGGCAUCCGGAACUGUCAAGCUAGAGUGCAGGAGAGGAAGGUAGAAUUCCCGGUGUAGCGGUGAAAUGCGUAGAGAUCGGGAGGAAUACCAGUGGCGAAGGCGGCCUUCUGGACUGACACUGACACUGAGGUGCGAAAGCGUGGGUAGCAAACAGGAUUAGAUACCCUGGUAGUC